rnacentral:rRNA from 1 species
UACGUAGGGUGCGAGCGUUUGUUCGGAUUUACUGGGCGUAAAGGGCGCGUAGGCGGCGUGGUAAGUCACUUGUGAAAUCUCUGAGCUUAACUCAGAACGGCCAAGUGAUACUGCCGUGCUAGAGUGCAGAAGGGGCAAUCGGAAUUCUUGGUGUAGCGGUGAAAUGCGUAGAUAUCAAGAGGAACACCUGAGGUGAAGACGGGUUGCUGGGCUGACACUGACGCUGAUGCGCGAAAGCCAGGGGAGCAAACGGG